rnacentral:rRNA from 1 species
GUAACGGCUUACCAAGGCUACGAUGUCUAGUGGGUCUGAGAGGAUGACCCGCCACACUGGAACUGAGACACGGUCCAGACUCCUACGGGAGGCAGCAGUAAGGAAUCUUGCGCAAUGGGCGAAAGCCUGACGCAGCAAUACCGCGUGAAUGAAGAAGGCCCUUGGGUCGUAAAGUUCUUUUAUAGGGGAAGAUAAUGACGGUACCCUAUGAAUAAGCACCGGCUAACUUCGUGCCAGCAGCCGCGGUAAUACGAAGGGUGCGAGCGUUGUUCGGAUUUACUGGGCGUAAAGAGCAAGUAGGCUGUUUUUUAAGCAAAGGGUGAAAUCCCGAGGCUCAACCUCGGAACUGCUCUUUGAACUGGAAGACUAGAGAAAGACAGAGGCAAGCGGAAUUCUUGGUGUAGAGGUGGAAUUCAUAGAUAUCAAGAGGAACAUCGGUGGCGAAGGCGGCUUGCUGGGUCUUUUCUGACGCUGAGAGGCGAAAGCGUGGGUAGCAAACAGGAUUAGAUACCCUGGUAGUCCACGCCGUAAACGAUGAGUAUCAGCCGUUUAGCUUCGGCUAAGUGGUGCAGCUAACGCUUUGAAUACUCCGCCUGGGGAGUACGGUCGCAAGACUAAAACUCAAAGGAAUUGACGGGGACCCGCACAAGCAGUGGAGCAUGUGGUUUAAUUGGAUGCAACGCGAAAAACCUUACCUAGGUUUGAAAUCCCUUGACAACCUUAGAAAUAAGGCUUUCCCUUCGGGG